rnacentral:rRNA from 1 species
AUUUCCAGGCCCUACGGGGUGCAGCAGGCGCGAAAACUUUACAAUGCACGAAAGUGUGAUAAGGGAAUCCCUAGUGCUUAUGGAAACAUAAGCUUUUGGCAAGGGUAGGAACCUUGUCGAAUAAGCAGUGGGUAAGACCGGUGCCAGCAGCCGCGGUAA